UAUAUAUAUAUAUAUAUAUAUAUAUAUAUAAAUUUCUUUUAAAGGAGCACAAAAUGACAGUCAGCGACAUGUAAGAAUGGCUUGUUUAUUGCUAAGGCCAUAUGGUCAAAAUUAAAUGAUGUAUUAAAAAUGUAAUAACAAUAACUGAUAACAAUAACUUAUUUUGCCAGUAAAUUGCUGGUAAACGACAAAAACAACCACUAGGUGGGAAAAGGGUAUUUUACAAUAACUAUGAAUGCACCACGAGGAUGGCGAGGAGAGUUUCAAGUAAACGUACCGUCUGUGUUGUUUUUCCGACAACGGCAGACAUACAAUCACAUCACGGAGGUGGGAACAGAGA